rnacentral:lncRNA from 1 species
UUCUCUCAAAGACGAUGACUGUACAGAUAGAAAAUGUGAAUUAACAAUUUGCUGAUUAAAAGUGUGAGUGAAAGUGUGGAAAUUACUACAGUCUCGCCAGACGCAUUUGUACCCCCAUCACCGUUUGAACCCGGACCGUGCGAGAACGAGUUGCUUCAAAUUAGCUUUCUGUUGCACCUCCAGUAUGGCAGCCAUAAAGUUUUCUUCCAACUCAUCUCGUUCAGUUUUAGUUCGCGCUAAACGCUGCUCAGCUACUUCACGUUGCCAUACUGCUUCUUCAAGCUGCUUAGACAUUGUUUUAGCGUGACCCUUUGCCGCCUAAAAGUGUCGGUGGAGUUCUUCUGUCUUUGGAGUUCUACGGUCGCCAUGCUCUUCUGGUGGUGACGAUGAAGCAUGCACAGCAUACCAUGGCGAAUCAAGAAUAUUAAGUCUACUUCUACAACAAGUUACUGAGUGUUCCUUUUACUCACUUCUUCUGCUGCAAGAACACAUCUUUGUGGCCCAGCAGAUUUAUUCAUGACUGAAUAUUGAUGCUCGUGUGUCACACUUCUGAAUGUGUGGAGCUGUUAAGAAGUUGUGAAAUACAAUUUCCAUGGUGCCCUGCACUUAACUAAUCAACCAAGAGCUGCAAUAGGUAUAAGCAAUAGGUAGUCUGUCUAGUGCCUACAGCAAAUGGAGGUGAGAAAGUGAAGACCCGACCAGAAAGCCUGAUUACUUCGAUAUUUUCCACAUUGACGCCUAUCAAACAUCGUGCAAUUAUGCGUCCGAAAGAAAAUUGCAACAUGACAUUGGCCUACAACACGAUGUUCAACGUGGACUAUCACUUGUUACUGGUAUUUAAAAUUUUUGUUAGUUAUCCGUUGUCUGCCACGCCUUUUCUCCCCAUGUUAGCUCCUUAGCACGGGCCCGCGCUGUUUGAUCUUGUGGUCUAUAUAUGCCAUGGGGUCUAACAGUCGCACCAGCCCCAGAUUCGCCGAAAGGCCCCGUUAGGCAAUGCACCAUAGGGACUUCCCCCUUGUCGAUGCGGUGAUGGAUUCUAGAGGUUGUGCAUUCCAUCUUCUCCUAUCACCGUGUCAGCCCGGACUUGUCAGCAAUGGCAAGUCCCACUUGGUCAUGGAUCCUUAUGACAUGGCGCGUAGAGUAGUAGAAAAACAACCUACGGGUUGUAUGGCGUGGCAGCCAACGGGUAACUAUUUGUGUAUAUGUGUAUGUUUAUAUAUUGUGUUUAUGUAUUGCAUAUUGUGUUUAACUUGUAUGUGCAUGACUGUAAAACGUGGAGGAAUUGUGGGAGGAGGUGGGAUAACAAUAAAUGCAAUUCACUUUUCAA